rnacentral:rRNA from 1 species
AGAGUUUGAUCCUGGCUCAGGACGAACGCUGGCGGCGUGCCUAAUACAUGCAAGUAGAACGCUGAAGAGAGGAGCUUGCUCUUCUUGGAUGAGUUGCGAACGGGUGAGUAACGCGUAGGUAACCUGCCUUGUAGCGGGGGAUAACUAUUGGAAACGAUAGCUAAUACCGCAUAACAAUGGAUGACACAUGUCAUUUAUUUGAAAGGGGCAAUUGCUCCACUACAAGAUGGACCUGCGUUGUAUUAGCUAGUAGGUGAGGUAACGGCUCACCUAGGCGACGAUACAUAGCCGACCUGAGAGGGUGAUCGGCCACACUGGGACUGAGACACGGCCCAGACUCCUACGGGAGGCAGCAGUAGGGAAUCUUCGGCAAUGGGGGCAACCCUGACCGAGCAACGCCGCGUGAGUGAAGAAGGUUUUCGGAUCGUAAAGCUCUGUUGUAAGUCAAGAACGAGUGUGAGAGUGGAAAGUUCACAC